rnacentral:rRNA from 1 species
UACGUAGGGUGCGAGCGUUUGUCCGGAAUUAUUGGGCGUAAAGGGCUCGUAGGCGGUCUGUCGCGUCGGGGAGUGAAAACUCAGGGCUUAACCCUGAGCCUGCUUCCGAUACGGGCAGACUAGAGGUAUGCAGGGGAGAACGGAAUUCCUGGUGUAGCGGUGGAAUGCGCAGAUAUCAGGAGGAACACCGGUGGCGAAGGCGGUUCUCUGGGCAUUACCUGACGCUGAGGAGCGAAAGUGUGGGGAGGCGAACAGG